GACACCAAUUGCCUGUGUACUAUACCUUCAGAGCCUGAUUGUUUCAGAAGCAGGCAUGUUCUCCAGGGUGCUCAGUCUAUUUUGGAAGGAGAAUCAUAAACUUGCAGAGACCACACUAAGGUAGAAUGAGGCCAGCCAUUCAUAACGUUGGAGAACAAGACAAAUGGAAUAGUCCUAGAGUCAGACCCAUCAGAUGAAAUGAAGAAGUGAAGAACUCUCCUGGGAGUGGAGCUGACAUUCAUCACAACUGUCUACUUGGAGGGAGUGACUAAUUUUUCCCUUUCUAAGUUCUGAACCGUGGAUGAUAAUCCCCACCUGAUGCAGGUAAACAGUGGAGUCCACCUUGUUUUUUCCCUCAGGCUUUUGGAUACACUACAUAUUAAGGAAGUUUCUGAAGCAAUGCUCUACAUUGAUGGUAAACUUCAAUAAACAUGGAACCAGGUACAAAUGGACUUAUGUUGGUUACUGCAAGUGAAAUGUUGCAGACAGUAGAGUUAGAGCCAGAAUACAUGGUGAAAAUAUGUAUCUGCCAUCACAUGAGAGAAUAGUCACUAUGUUUUGUUACUGCCCAUGUGUAUGGUAUGAGCUAAAGGGAAAGAAGUAUCCUCAUAUUUUCCAGAAGAUCAUUAAAAUCAAUGUGUAAUUCUUAGCUUUCCAGGUGAAUAUUUGCAUUCCCCCAAGAUUUUCUUGGUUUCAGGUCUUAGAAUAUCAAGUUAGUGUCUGUAUAGAGCACAGACACUUAUAAGGCACUGAUUUGUCUGCCCCAAACUGGCCCAAAGGACAGUGGGAUGUACUGACAUUUUGCUGACAUACUCUGACACAUUGUUGUCUGAGACUCAAUGGUAUAACCAUGGGAAAACUGAGAAUGUACAAAGAUCAAAAGGAGAGCUUAAGGUCAAAGGUUGGUGUUGAACAACACAGAAAAGAUUGCUAUGAGAGAAAAUAUUGGCAGGGCUCUGAUAACUAACAUUCACCAGGAUCCCUGUCUGGGGUCCACAAUGCUGAAUUUCUCACACUUAAAUAUGUUGUAACUAGACUUGUAAGGUUGUGUCUGUAUAUCUAAGCAAUGUGUUAGGUUUGUAGUAAUAUCAAUCUAAAACACUGAUAUUUCUUUGAGAAGUGGGCAUAUAUGAGGGUCUGAGACAAUGGUCAAGACUGGGAGAAUGACUUCACUGAUAUCUGUCAGAAAGGGGAAGUUAAGGGUACACAAUUGUUUUAAAUAAAGACUUUUAUAGGUCAGAAGAUGUUUUCUCCACAAGACUGAAAAAGCUCAAAAAAUAGCUACAAAUUCCUCCAGGUACUCUUCCACGACUUUAACCACUCCCUCAUGAUUGUUUUACAUAGUAGCUGAACAUUCACAGUCAAAACUGAAUAAUUAAAGGUAAUGAUAAUUGUAUCCACAGGAAAUUAAUUUUCCAUGUGGACUUCAAAGUUGUUGUCCGGUGAAAAUAAAGAAAAGGACGUUACAGGUUACAGGAGAAAACUCUCAUUAGUGUUCGAGGAAGGGUGCAUAGGCCUCCAACUUGACCUAUUGUACCACAUAGAUGGAGAAAUUUAUCAGAAUUUUUUUUAUUAACUUGAGUAUUUCUUAUAUACACUUCGAGUGUUAUUCCCUUUCCCGGUUUCCGGGCAAACAUCCUCCUAAUCCCUCCCCCUCCCCUUCUUUAUGGGUGUUCCCCUCCCCAUCCUCCCCCCAUUGCCGCCCUCCCCCCAACAAUCUAGUUCGCUGGGGGUUCAGUCUUAGCAGGACCCAGGGCUUCCCCUUCCACUGGUGCUCUUACUAGGAUAUUCAUUGCUACCUAUGAGGUCAGAGUCCACGGUCAGCCCAUGUAUAGUCUUUAGGUACUGGCUUAGUCCCUAGAAGCUCUGGUUGCUUGACAUUGUUGUACAUAUGGGGUCUUGAGCCCCUUCAAGCUCUUCCAGUUCUUUCUCUGAUUCCUUCAACGGGGGUCCUAUUCUCAGUUCAGUGGUUUGCUGCUGGCAUUCGUCUCUGUAUUUGCUGUAUUCUGUUUGUGUCUCUCAGGAGCAAUCUACAUCCGGCUCCUGUUGGCCUGCACUUCUUUGCUUCAUCUAUCUUGUCUAAUUGGAUGGCUGUAUAUGUAUGGGCCACAUGUGGGGCAGGCUCUGAAUGGGUGUUCAUUCUGUGUCUGUUUUAAUCUUUGCCUCUCUAUUCCCUGCCAUGGGUAUUCUUAUUCCCCUUUUAAAGAGGAGUGAAGCUUUCACAUUUUGAUAAUCCGUCUUGAGUUUCAUUUGUUCUAGGCAUCUAGGGUAAUUCAAGCAUUUGGGCUAAUAGCCACUUAUCAAUGAGUGCAUACCAUGUGUGUUUUCUGUGAUUGGGUUACCUCACUUAGGAUGAUAUUUUCCAGUUCCAACCAUUUGCCUACGAAUUUCAUAAAGUCAUUGUUUUUGAUAGCUGAGUAAUAUUCCAUUGUGUAGAUGAACCACAUUUUCUGUAUCCAUUCCUCUGUUGAAGGGCAUCUGGGUUCUUUCCAGCUUGUGGCUAUUAUAAAUAAGGCUGCGAUGAACAUAGUGGAGCACGUGUCUUUUUAUAUGUUGGGGCAUCUUGUGGAUAUAUGCCCAAGAGAGGUAUAGCUGGAUCCUCAGGCAGUUCAAUGUCCAAUUUUCUGAGGAACCUACAGACUGAUUUCCAGAUUGGUUGUACCAGUCUGCAAUCCCACCAACAAUGGAGGAGUGUUCCUCUUUCUCCACAUCCUCGCCAGGAUUUGCUGUCACCUGAGUUUUUGAUCCUAACCAUUCUCAUUGGUGUGAGGUGAAAUCUCAGGGUUGUUUUGAUUUGCAUUUCCCUUAUGACUAAAGAUGUUGAACAUUUCUUUAGGUGUUUCUCAGCCAUUCGGCAUUCCUCAGCUGUGAAUUCUUUGUUUAGCUCUGAACCCCAUUUUUUAAUAGGGUUAUUUGUCUUCCUACAGUCUAACUUCUUGAGCUCUUUGUAUAUUUUGGAUAUAAGGCCUCUAUCUGUUGUAGGAUUGGUAAAGAUCUUUUCCCAAUCUGUUGGUUGCCAUUUUGUCCUAACCACAGUGUCCUUUGCCUUACAGAAGCUUUGCAGUUUUAUGAGAUCCCAUUUGUCCAUUCUUGAUCUUAGAGCAUAAGCCAUUGGUGUUUUGUUCAGGAAAUUUUUUCCAGUGCCCAUGUGUUCCAGAUGCUUCCCUAGUUUUUCUUCUAUUAGUUUGAGUGUAUCUGGUUUGAUGUGGAGGUCCUUGAUCCAUUUGGACCUAAGCUUUGUACAGGGUGAUAAGCAUGGAUCGAUCUGCAUUCUUCUACAUGUUGACCUCCAGUUGAACCAGGACCAUUUGCUAAAAAUGCUAUCUUUUUUCCAUUGGAUGGUUUUUGCUCCUUUGUCAAAAAUCAAGUGACCAUAGGUGUGUGGGUUCAUUUCUGGGUCUUCAAUUCUGUUCCAUUGGUCUAUCUCUCUGUUUCUGUACCAAUAACAUGCAGUUUUUAUCACUAUUGCUCUGUAAUACUGCUUGAGUUCAGGGAUAGUGAUUCCCCCUGAAGUCCUUUUAUUGUUGAGGAUAGCUUUAGCUAUUCUGGGUUUUUUGUUAUUCCAAAUGAAUUUGCAAAUUGUUCUGUCUAACUCUUUGAAGAAUUGGAUUGGUAUUUUGAUGGGGAUUGCAUUGAAUCUGUAGAUCGCAUUUGGUAAAAUGGCCAUUUUUACUAUAUUAAUCCUGCCAAUCCAUGAGCAUGGGAGAUCUUUCCAUCUUCUGAGGUCUUCUUCAAUUUCUUUCUUCAGAGUCUUGAAGUUCUUAUUGUACAAAUCUUUUACUUGCUUGGUUAAAGUCACACCGAGGUACUUUAUAUUAUUUGGGUGUAUUAUGAAGGGUGUCGUUUCCCUAAUUUCUUUCUCGGCUUGUUUCUCUUUUGUGUAGAGGAAGGCUACUGAUUUAUUUGAGUUAAUUUAUUCCCAGCCACUUUGCUAAAGUUGUUUAUCAGCUUUAGUAGUUCUCUGGUGGCACUUUUGGGAUCACUUAAAUAUACUAUCAUAUCAUCUGCAAAUAGUGAUAUUUUGACUUCUUCUUUUCCGAUCUGUAUCCCCUGGACCUCCUUUUGUUGUCUGAUUGCUCUGGCUAGAACUUCAAGAACUAUAUUGAAUAAGUAGGGAGAGAGUGGGCAGCCCUGUCUAGUCCCUGAUUUAGUGGCAUUGCUUCAAGUUUCUCUCCAUUUAGUUUAAUGUUAGCAACUGGUUUGCUGUAUAUGGCUUUUACGAUGUUUAGGUAUGGGCCUUGUAUUCCAAUUCUUUCCAGGACUUUUAUCAUGAAGGGGUGUUGAAUUUUGUCAAAUGCUUUCUCAGCAUAUAAUGGAAUGAUCAUGUGGUUUUGUUCUUUCAGUUUGUUUAUAUAAUGGAUCACAUUGAUGGUUUUCCGUAUAUUAAACCAUCCCUGCAUGCCUGGAAUGAAGCCUACUUGAUCAUGGUGGAUGAUUGUUUUGAUGUGCUCUUGGAUUCGGUUUGCCAAAAUUUUAUUGAAUGUUUUUGCGUCGAUAUUCAUGAGGGAAAUUGGUCCAAAGUUCUUUUUCUUUUUUGAGUCUUUGUGUGGUUUAGGUAUAAGAGUAAUUGUCGCUUCAUAGAAGGAAUUCGGUAGUGCUCCAUCUGUUUCAUUCUUGUGGAAUAGUUUGGAUAAUAUUGGUAUGAGGUCUUCUAUGAAGGUCUGAUAGAAUUCUGCACUAAAUCCGUCUGGACCUGGGCUCUUUUUGGUUGGGAGACCUUUAAUGACUGCUUCUACUUCCUUAGGAGUUAUGGGGUUGUUUACCUGGUUUAUCUGUUCCUGAUUUAACUUCGGUACCUGGUAUCUGUCUAGGAAAUUGUCCAUUUCCUGUAGAUUUUCAAGUUUUGUUGAAUAUAGACUUUUAUAGUAAGAUCUGAUGAUUUUUUGAAUUUCCUCUGAAUCUGUAGUUAUGUCUCCCUUUUCAUUUCUGAUUUUGUUAAUUUGGACACUCUGUGACUUCUCAUUAGUCUGGCUAAGGGUUUAUCUAUCUUGUUGAUUUUCUCAAAGAACCAACUUUUGGUUCUGUUGAUUCUUUCUAUGGUCCUUUUUGUUUCUACUUGGUUGAUUUCAGCUCUGAGUUUGAUUAUUUUCUGCCUUCUACUCCUCCUGGGUGUAUUUGUUUCUUUUUGUUCUAGAGCUUUUAGGUGUGCUGUCAAGCUGGAGACAUAUGCUCUUUCCUGUUCCUUUCUGCAGGCACUCAACACUAUGAAUUUUCCUCUUAGCACAGCUUUCAUUGUGUCCCAUAAAUUUAGGUAUGUUUUACCUUCAUUUUCAUUAAAUUCUAAGAAGUCUUUAAUUUCUUUCUUUAUUUUUUCCUUGACCAGGUUAUCAUUGAGUAGAGCAUUGUUCAAUUUCCACGUAUAUGUGUGCAUUUUUCCCUUAUUAUUAUUGAAGACCAGUUUCAGGGCGUGGUGGUCUGAUAGCACGCAUGGGAUUAUUUCUAUCUUUCUGUACCUGUUGAGGCCCAUUUUUUGACCAAUUAUAUUGUCAAUUUUGGAGAAAGUACCAUGAGGAGCUGAGAAGAAGGUAUAUCCUUUUGCUUUAGGAUAGAAUGUUUUAUAAAUAUCUGUUAAGUCCAUUUGGCUCAUCACUUCUCUUAGUCGGUGUACGUCUUUGUUUAAUUUCUGUUUCCAUGAUCUGUCCAUUGAUGAGAGUGUGGUGUUGAAAUCUUGUACUAUUAUUGUGCGAGGUGCAAUAUGUGUUUUGAGCUUUAGUAAGGUUUUGUUUACGUAUGUAGGGGCCCUUGUAUUUGGAGUAUAGAUAUUUAGGAUUGAGAGUUCAUCUUGGUGGAUUUUUCCUUUGAUGAAUAUGAAGUGUCCUUUCUUAACUUUUUUGAUGAAUUUUAGUUGAAAAUUGAUUUUAUUUGAUAUUAGAAUGGCUACUCCAGCUUGCUUCUUCCGACCAUUUGCUUGGAAAGUUGUUUUCCCGCCUUUCACUCUGAGGUAGUGUCUGUCUUUGUCUCUGAGGUGUGUUUCCUGUAGGCAGCAGAAUGCAGGGUCCUCGUUGCGUAUCCAGUUUGUUAAUCUAUGUCUUUUUAUUGGGGAGUUGAGGCCAUUGAUGUUGAGAGAUACUAAGGAAUAGUGAUUAUUGCUUCCUGUUAUAUUCAUAUUUGGAUAUGAGGUUAUGUUUUGUGCUUUUCUUUUCUUUGUUUUGUUGCCAAGACGAUUAGUUUCUUGCUUCUUCUAUGGUAUAGUUUGUCAUUUUAUGUUGGGGUUUACCAUUUAUUAUCCUUUGUAGUGCUGGAUUUGUAGAAAGAUAUUGUGUAAAUUUGGUUUUGUCAUGGAAUAUCUUGGUUUCUCCAUCUAUAUUAAUUGAGAGUUUUGCAGGAUACAGUAACCUGGGCUGGAAUUUCUGUUCUCUUAGCGUCUGUAUAACAUCUGUCCAGGAUCUUCUGGCUUUCAUAGUUUCUGGUGAAAAGUCUGGUGUGAUUCUGAUAGGUCUGCCUUUAUAUGUUACUUGACCUUUUUCCCUUACUGCUUUUAAUAUUCUUUCUUAUUUUGCGCGUUUGGUGUUUUGACUAUUAUAUGACAGGAGGUGUUUCUUUUCUGGUCCAAUCUAUUUGGAGUUCUGUACGCUUCUUGUAUGCCUAUGGGUAUCUCUUUCUUUAGGUUAGGGAAGUUUUCUUCUAUGAUUUCGUUGAGGAUAUUUACUGGUCCUUUGAGCUGGGAGUCUUCAAUCUCUUCUAUACCUAUUAUCCUUAGGUUUGAUCUUCUCAUUGAGUCCUGGAUUUCCUGUAUGUUUUGGACCAGUAGCUUUUUCCGCUUUACAUUAUCUUUGACAGUUGAGUCAAUGAUUUCUAUGGAAUCUUCUGCCCCUGAGAUUCUCUCUGCCAUCUCUUGUAUUCUGUUGGUGAAGCUUGUAUCUACGGCUCCUUGUCUCUUCUUUUGGUUUUCUAUGUCCAGGGUUGUUUCCAUGUGUUCUUUCUUGAUUGCUUCUAUUUCCAUUUUUAAUUCCUUCAACUGUUUGAUUGUGUUUUCCUGGAAUUCUUUUAGGGAUUUUUGUGUCUCCUCUCUAUGGGCUUCUACUUGUUUAUUUAUGUUUUCCUGGAAUUCUUUCAGGGAUUUGUGUGAUUCCUCUCGGGAGGCUUCUACUUGUUCUCCAAGGGAGUUCUUCACGUCUUUCUUGAAGUCCUCCAGCAUCAUGAUCAAAUAUGAUUUUGAAACUAGAUCUUGCUUUUCUGGUGUGUUUGGGUAUUCUGUGUUUGCUUUGG